rnacentral:tRNA from 2 species
GCCGGAGUAGCUCAGUUGGUCAGAGCAGCGGAAUCAUAAUCCGCGUGUCGGGGGUUCAAGUCCCUCCUCCGGCA